UGGUUGAUGAGACUUUUUCUAUGAUGCUGUGGUCGUGUUACCCAGAUAUGAAGCCCAAGAGGGGGAUGAAUUGGGUCUUUUUAAAAUUUUUAAAAUUAGUGCACUUAAAUAAUGUGCUAAAUUAUUGAGUGGAGUGAAUUGAAUAGCUAUAAAAAUGAAAUCAAUUACAAAUGAUAUGUAAGCAAGUAUAAAGCAUAAAGAAUAAGUAAAGAGAUGCAAGCACAAUA
rnacentral:lncRNA from 1 species